UCUAGAUUUUUUUUUGCUCUUUUGCCAUUCCAAAUUUCUUUUAAUCUAAAUCUGUGGAACCUUUUUCCAUCAACUAGACAGGGCAAGCACCCUAAGGAAAAUACAAAAGCUCGGCGAGGCAACUUGAAUGAUAUCUCUAAAACGAAAGUUCCCGUUGGAAACGAGGAUCGAUUCUCGAAAGGAGGCCCCAUCGAAGAGGUUGGAGUGAAGCCAAUCCCAUUCCCCUUGGGUGUCCAUUGAGCAGGGUCUUCCCGGAGAUUUCUUCAACUACAACUCUCCUUUAGGUUUGGCCAUGCGCCUGUUGAGGCAAGAUCAAGAAUUCACUUUGGGAUAAAACCUAGAGGACCCAUUCCUCCGUUCGGGCCCAGCCGCAGAUCGUAAUGCACUCCAUUGCAUGUCCAGCUACAGCUCGGUCGUGGCCGCUAAUUGGAUGCAUACUACUCAGAUGUUAAGGCGCCCAAGAGCAACUUUAUAUAAGUAUAAAUAUGGGCACUAUAUUCACAAUAGCUUCUAUGGUCGCAUGCAU